AUGAGCGUUGCCUUUGGACGCUUGAACGAGGCGAUCCUAGACAUCGUGGCCUUGCAGUCCGUUCCAUUUACAGACGCUGAUGCUUCAAGUCUCGAGAAACAUGCUGCCCGGGUUUUCACGCCUUGUAUGUUUCAGUUGGUCAGAUGGAGCAUAAGUGUUGUUAGCAAAUGUGUUAUCAGCGAGAUACUAGAUGCAUGGGAGUUGACUACAUAUGUUGUGGCUACGAUCGAUAGAAGAGAGAAGAAGUUUGAAGUGCGCUGUGAGAUGAAGGAAGGUUCUUUGUACAGGAUCAGUUGUUCUUGUCGUAAGCUGGAAUGCUUGGGAACACCUUGCUCUCACAUAUUCUACAUCUUGGGAAUACGUCAAGUGGAACUGCUGCCUAGGUGUUGUGUUCCCAUGAGGUGGACGAUGAGUGCGAAGUCUGCAUUCCCUCCGACCAGAAAGAGCGAGAUGUAUGACUAUUCGGCAAGCCUUAUGAGGUACCGUGAGUUGCGGAAUUUGAGUCACGCGGCAUGUUUCCGGGCAUGUCAAUCUAGUGAGGAGUAUCAGCAUCUGAAGAUGGUUCUGAGUGAACAAGAUGGCAGCAAGGAAUCAAGCCGUGGUGAGGAAGAAUGCAUUAGAUUUGGUCCGGUGCUACCACAGACCACGGAAAUUGAUUGUCGAGAUUUGGAAAAGGUUCUGGACCCAGUGCAUGUGCAAGGCCGAGGUGCACCGAAGAAAAGGCUGCAGGCAAAGAUGAAGAAGCAAAGAUCAAAGAGGAAAUGUGGCUACUGUGGGGUGGAAGGUCAUAAUCGGCGUAAAUGCAAUAAAUUAAAAGAGGAAAUGAUGGCAUCAAACUGUUAG
rnacentral:rRNA from 1 species